rnacentral:lncRNA from 1 species
CAAUACAGCAAAAUUCCUAGAAGAAAAUGUAAGAGGCAAACUCUGUGAUUUAGAUUUUGUGAUGAGUUUUUACAUAGAACACUACAAGCAUUAUCUAUGAAAGAAAAAAAAUUGGUAAAUUAUGACUUGUUAAAAUUAAAAUCUUCUACUCUUUGAAUAAUAUUUGUUCAGAGAAGAAGACAAGUCACAAACUGGGAAAAAAAUAUUUGCAAACCAUACAUCUGAUCAAAUCGUAUCCACAUCAUGCUGAGGACUCUUAAAACAUAGCAAUGAGAAAAUAAAGAAGCCCAUGGAGAAAGGGUGAAGUAUCUGAAGAGACAUCUCAGAUACACAGAUGGCAAAUAAUCAUAUGAAAAAAAAAUGCUCAAUAUAAUUUGUCAUCCAGAAAUUUAAUGCCGAAUUUUGCCAAAUGGUUUUUGAAAUCUAUUAUAAUAAUUAUUUUGCUUUAGUCUGUUAUUAUAAUGAAUUGCAUUGAUGAGCUUUGAAUGUUGAGCCAGUCUCACAUUCCUGAGAUAAACCCUACGAAGUCAUAAUGUAUGAAUAUUCUUUUGUGUACUGCUUUUUUGAUGAAUACUUCAUUGAAUAUUUAUGUGUUAAUAUUUAUGAAGGAUCU